rnacentral:rRNA from 1 species
CUGGCGGCGUGCUUAACACAUGCAAGUCGAACGAUGAACCCCGCUUGCGGGGGGAUUAGUGGCGAACGGGUGAGUAACACGUGAGUAACCUGCCCUUAACUCUGGGAUAAGCCUUGGAAACGGGGUCUAAUACUGGAUAUUGACUUUUCCUCGCAUGGGGAUUGGUUGAAAGAUUUAUUGGUUUUGGAUGGACUCGCGGCCUAUCAGCUUGUUGGUGAGGUAAUGGCUCACCAAGGCGACGACGGGUAGCCGGCCUGAGAGGGUGACCGGCCACACUGGGACUGAGACACGGCCCAGACUCCUACGGGAGGCAGCAGUGGGGAAUAUUGCACAAUGGGCGAAAGCCUGAUGCAGCGACGCCGCGUGAGGGAUGACGGCCUUCGGGUUGUAAACCUCUUUCAGUAGGGAACAAGGCUGGUCGUUGACUGGUUGAGGGUACUUGCAGAAGAAGCGCCGGCUAACUACGUGCCAGCAGCCGCGGUAAUACGUAGGGCGCAAGCGUUAUCCGGAAUUAUUGGGCGUAAAGAGCUCGUAGGCGGUUUGUCGCGUCUGCCGUGAAAGUCCGGGGCUCAACCCCGGAUCUGCGGUGGGUACGGGCAGACUAGAGUGAUGUAGGGGAGACUGGAAUUCCUGGUGUAGCGGUGAAAUGCGCAGAUAUCAGGAGGAACACCGAUGGCGAAGGCAGGUCUCUGGGCAUU